GGUAGACACCAACACCUCCAAGUGAAUGGGGGCCGUGUGCAUGGUUAUUUCAUGCUGCCAUAAAACCGAGCAGGCAUCUGUGUUACAAACACCACACAGGGUGCUCAGUCACACCAGGUGUGCUGCAGCAAUGUGUGGGUGAGAGCCUGGGGCCCUGGCACCAUCCAUGUGCUCAGCACCCUGGGUGAAGGCCACAAUUUGUCAGCUGGCAUCAACUUCCUCCUACUGUAACAAAGGCUUGAUGCCAUCAGGUGUAAGUGACUCCCCAAAACCCAGAGACUCAAACCUAAGCCUUAAAUCAUUUUCCCAAGAUCUGACAAACAUCCCUGACCCAAAAAUAUAUACAAAAAUAAUCUAUUUCCUUGCAUACUGCCAAGUCCAUCGUGCUCCAUAUUUGUCUCUCUGGUGGGUUUUACUUCCUCCCCUGCUCUGAGUGGGAGAGCUGACACAUCUCUGAGUAUUUCUAGCACAGAGUACCAGGAAGCUGAAGGGAGCUUGGCUGCAUGUCAGGAGCACAGGCAGUGCUGUACCUCACACCUGCAGUGCUGUGACAGUCCAGUGUGACCUGCUGUGCCCACAGCCACCUGUGUGUCUUGCAUUCCUGCAGAGGAUGCUUCUCUCCAUUUCAGUGGGAAUUCAGGAGUUUUAAUUACCUAGAAUUUCAAAGAGUUGUUAGACAGUGACUCAGACUUAAAUGCUGAUUUAAAUAACUUCCCCUUGUGACUCUCAGCUUGCCUGCAUAUGGAGUAGCUACCAUUCAAACCAGUGUUUGGAGGCUUAAUUAAACCAGAAGGAAGGCACAUAUGUAAGAGACUGAAUGUUACUAAAACCUGCAGCCUCAUUCAGAGCCACUGACAAAUUUUUCACAUCAAUUGAUUUUUUUCAUGUAAGAGUCACUGCCCUAAAACUUUUAAAAUCCAAACAGAUGAAAUGGAAGGAGGAAAUGCAGAGGUCAUCUGAGCUGGUGUUGAAAAGCAUACAAAUCUUCUGCAUGUGUAACUCCUGAAGUUUCUAAUAAUCAUGUUUUGGACAAAUUUUAGUGCCUGUAGUCCCUGAGGCUGGUAAGCCAAGCCAUCACUGUGACACAAAUCCAGUGCCAGGGCUGGUGCCCUGGCCCAUCCCAGUCUGGCUGCAGUGAUCUCCAGCUGCACAUUCCAAGCUCCAGUUCCAGGGGCAGCACAGGCUGUGCAGGCACUUCUGCCAUGGCUCUGGAGCUUGGAGGACACCACAGAGCUGCAAGGCCCCUGUGCAGUUCCUGCAGCCACACACGCAGGGCACUGCUGCAGACACUGACCUGCAGCCCAAGCAGCAGAGCAGAGCAGGGCACUGGCCCAGCUCUCCUCCUCCUCAAGGAUGGAUUUAGCUCCCUUAGGAGGCUGGGCCUCUGGGUUGUGCUGUGAGGAGCUCUAAGGAAGCUCAGCCGGCAGUGCUGUGCCCACCCGAGCAUCUGUGGCAGCAGUGUUACAGUGUGGGCUCGCACAGCCUGCCUCCCCACACAGCCAGAGGCAACGAGAGGCAAGCAGAGCUUUCGUUUCACUGCAGUGCCUUUAGAAAGCUCUCAACAAAAUCAGCUUCCCACACUGGCUCUAAAUGCAGACUGCAUUUAGAAGAGUGGCAGCACAGAUUCGGGGUUUAAAAUUCUGGUUUUUAUUCACAGCUUGCUGUGGGGCAAAGAAAAUAUUUAUCAGUGGCUGCUGCCUAACCUGCUGCAUGCUCCCAUGUGAACUAAGAUUAAUGACACAGUAUCUUGACUAUCCAAACAGAAAAAAAAAAAACCCCAAAUAUUCUAAAGGGACAUCAUUUGGCACAGCUUAGAUGCUGUGUAUUUAUUUCCUCAAUACAAGCUGCCAAUUUGAGUACACCAAUCAUCUCUGCUUGUAAGCAGUGGACUAUUAGUUUUAAACUUUAUUCCCUGACACUGAAUUUGCUCUCAGAAAAAUUUACUGGAGCCUAUUGUUCAGCAGAAGGGCAGAGUUGCAUCCUGCAUCAGGUGCAGUGUGGGAGCCCAGAAUCUGCAGAAAUGAAAGGGCUUUGGAAGAUGAGUGUGAGCAGACCAUGCUAAUAACCCUAACAAAGAAAUUAGGUUUUGCUGCAAGUCCUGUAAAUGUUACUUUACAAGCCUUACAAGGUAACAGCAAAUGAGUUCAGGGCAAGACAUUUCUCUUUCAACAAGGAAAUCCAGCAAUACUGAAGGAAAAUUCUGAGAAUUCCUUGCCUGCAACCAGCUGAGAUGGAGAAUUAAGGCAGAUUCUCCUUGCUGUCAGUUCCUCCCCAGGUCUGAGGAGAAAUGGCACCCAACACACAGAGCCUGUGCCAGAAAGCAAAAACAGCUGAUGGAAGUGUUUUCACACCCUCACCUGCUCCUUUCUUCUCCUUUUCACAUGGGCCUCACACCAAAGGUUGUGGCCAUCUGCCCUGGGCUCCAUCUACACCCCACAGUGAGUUAUGAUCUGGCCUCUGAUUUAUCCUUUGUGAGCAAUAACUGCAUUCUACAAACCUCAGAUUUAUAUCAUAGUCAAAAUCACACAAACCCUAGUCAGAACAACAGAUCUCACAUUUUAAUAUUCCUUGUGGAAGUUUCCAGGUUACUGUGUUUGUAGCAGGUAAGCAUAAAUUUCAACAUUAUACUGAACAAAUAAGCACAUAAUUUAUUCUACAUGCAAGUUCAUUAUUUACCCUACUAUUUACCAUACCUAGGAAAUUUUGCUUGAUGCUAAAAAGCAAUUCUGAUUAAAAUGAUAAAUCCCAAAUUGAAAUGCCCAUUCAAGUUAUUUUUUUAGAGUUGCAUAGUACACAAACACAGCACAACUUGAAUUCCCAAGCAGGUCUCCUUGGUGCCAAAGCUGAGUUAUUCAAUUUACAAACUGGAAUGAGCUUUCUAUUGUUUUUAUAGAGGGCAAAGUUUGUAGACAGAUAUAAUGCCUCCUAUAUCAAAGCUGACUACAGAAAAUCUGCAAGCAGCACUCAGUGCAGGUUUCCUUCUUUGAAGGAAGGCUGAGUGUAAAUUUUUCCUUCUUUGAAGGGACUUGGAAUCUGAUUUUGCCAGUCCUGAGCAGACUGACUUUUUGAACAGAUCCAAGAGGAGCAGCCCAGAUCCAUUCCCUCAGUGACCAGUGUGGGGGAGAAAGGUCCCAGCUGGCUCAGUGGGAAGCUUUCCUUUCUGUUUGUGCUGAAGGAGCAGGACAUGACAAACACAGUGACUCAUUUAACUAUGGACACACUUCAUCUUUUAAUGCACUUGUGAUUCAGGAGCCUGGGAAAGCUUCUGAGGCAAGUUCCACCUUAAAAACACAAUAUCAGAAUGUCACUGGAUUCCAAACAUCCUUUAUUUUAUAUCUGCUGCCAUAGACAGUAAUUGAACAGUGCUGUCAUCAGUGUCAGUGGGAAAAGGAACAUGGGUCUUCUUCUCCUGAAGAUGUCAUGUACAUUAAGAAGCCAGUCCAAAAUCCUGGAGUUAAGUACAAAAAGCAACUGUUUGAAUUAUAAAAUACUGUAUAUACAGAUAUAAAAAUGUCUCAGAAAGUGUCCCACAAAGUUUCUGAACUUUCAAGAGCAAGUCUUCAGCAGGGUAAGUAGGUUGUUGUCUUCAAAGGUGAGCAUCAGUUCAUUAGAGCAGAAUGUCUCAAUCUUUAUCUUCCUAUAUUACAGGUGACAGACUCUGAUUUUCAUCCCAGCCAGGGAUAACGUGGUGAUCCUAGUAUGAAGGUGUUUUUUCCUGGAGCUAUUAAUUUAACAAGCACACUCUCUAUAUAUAAAAAUGAAAUUUUAAAGAAAUUUAUACAACUGCUAGACUUUAUAAAAAUAUAGAUCUAUAAUUUUACACCAGGAAUUAUCCAAGCUGGAGCUCUUCAGGAAGAACUGGCUUUCAGCUUGGACAGCAGCAUCUCAUUCUUACGGCACUCCUGUUAACAGAGAGCAAACAAGUGAGGAGGAAUUGCUCAGACUCUGCCAUCUGUAUCUCCACAUCAACAGAACCAAACCCUUUCUUCCAUUUUGAAACAACUCCACAAUCCAAAGCAGCUUGGAGUGAGUGAUGAGGUGAAGAUAAUAUUGAUUCAUCCAUAAUGUUAUUCCAAUGGCAAUAUAUUGAAUUUAUGACCUGCAAGCCAGAAGGAACACUGCUUGACCACCCACCUGAAGUUUCUGCAUGUAGCUAAAGCAAAUUCUGCUUUUUACUUAUAAGUAAAAUAAAUCUGAAAUGGGCAUUA